UGCGCAGCCCGUGCAUAAACAGGCGGGGCGGGGGCGGCGCUCCCAGCCUGGCCCGGUACGAGGCUGUGGGCUCUGCCCCGGCGGCGGCGAAGGGGGAGGGUUCUCCGUCAGUCUGUGGACUGAACGGGGAUCGCAGCGCCGGCGCGGGGGCUGGGCAGGGAGGGGGCUCUAUUCAAGUUUUCGUGAUUGAUGGAAUAGUUUGGGUUGAAGGGACCUUAAAGCUCAUCUAGCUCCAUACCCCCUCUAGUUCCACCUCCCACCGGCUCAGGCUGCCCAAGGCCGCAUCCAGCCUGGCCUUGAACGCCUCCAGGGAUGGGGCAGCCACAGCUUCCCUGGGCAGCCUGUGCCUCACCGCUCUCAUCAUGAAGAAAUUCUUCCUAACGUCCAGUCUAAAUCCACUCGUCUCCAGUUUAUACCCAUUGCCUGUAGUCCUAUCACCACAGGCCUUUGUGAACAGUCUCUCCUCAGCUUUCCUGUACCCCCUUCGGGUACUGGAAGGUCGCUAUAAGGUCUGCCCGGAGCCCUCUCUUCUCCAGGCUGAACAACCCCGACUCUCUCAGCCUGUCCUUGUGUGGGAGCAUGGAGGUCUUCCUCAAAUCAAGCACACUGUAAGGAAUUUGUCACCUUGAAUUAUACAGAAAGCAAUACGUUAUUCAUCAAGCAACUGAUCACAUAUUUACAUGUAACUAACAAAUGCCAUUCCUUGCAGCAUCUGCAGGUGCUCCAAGGGGGGUCUCUAGGGGCAUCUGGGGGUCACCACCCCAAAAAUUACCUGCCAGCUUCAUCUACCGGUCAACAUCCUUCCAAAUUUUGACUCGGUACAUAAAUCACUGGCUUGGAACUUCCUGGUUUGUUGAUAUUUCCAGUUCCCAAUCCAAAAGCCAUGCUCAUAAUUUGCGUUAUUAUUUCCAAACACUUAGUUCCCUCACAGCUGAACAAACUUUAUCUAGAAGUACAUGUUCCCAUCAUACAAAAAUCCAAAAGAUAGUAAUUACCUGGGACCCAUCUUGGGUAAGUCUCCUCUCUGAUUAUCCUAAGAUAUUUUUAAGAUACUUAAAAGUAUCAUGGGCUUUUACCAACACCCUGAUUCAAGAGCGACAUAAAUGUUCCCGUAUGAAGAUUCUAUAGGAAAUACUUGGAAGAUUCAUCUGCUAGUAUAAAAGCACAUUUUGCUGUUAUUUCCAGUUUUUAAAACUAUGAGUUUAGGAGAACACACAGAACCUGUAGGAAGAGCAGAAAAUUGUGACUGUGUUGAUACAUGAGUAUGGGCGGAUCCAGCUGCCCGAGAGGGCUGAGGCUGCUACAGCCCCAUGUCCCAGACACAGCAAUGGUCAUGUUACAAAACAAAAUGCAUGUACUGGAUGGAUACUAAAAUAAGUUCAGUUCUAGGAAGUAUCAUAUUUUAUGAUUGCCCAAGCUGACAGUCGUUCACUUUCCUGAAGGUGUGUGCAGUGAGUGAUAUGCCAGAAUGUCCAUUGGUAACUAAGGAGUCAUUACCUGGCCCAAGUCACCUGCCUGCUUGAAGCUUCUGACACCUGCAUCUUCCUGCAUUCCUCCACCCCCUGGAGCUCUGGAACGCACCAGCCUGCUGCUUCUCAGCUGACUCAGUUAAUUACUGAAAUUAGCCAAAAAUUUCUUCCAGGCUCAGAGCCUUGGCUUUUAAAUAACUGACAAGAUAAGGUCAAGUUCCUCAGUAUCCCUGGCAUACCUUUGUGAGGUCCUGUCCCAAGAAACAUAGGCUCAUAUUCAGAGUUACUUCUGCGAUGGAGCUUGUCCUUGCCACCCUUUGUUGGUAACAAGAGGCUGGGUGCUCACAAGGGAAGUGGAAUUGGGCACCACAGACAUGGAGCGGUGUAAGGUGGUACCUUGUUCACAAGUCUGCACGUCAGCUGCAAUGAGUAGGUGAAUCCAACAACAGGAAAGCACCUUAAUGACCGUCAUUUACUGGCAUCCUGAUAACCUCUCAGAAGAUCACAUGGCACAGGCUCACGUCCUCACUCGCACUGUGAUGGCUGCAACGAUGAGUGCAGCGGGAGGGAUCGGGAACCAAAACCAACUUGCAAAAGCUCAGAGAUCUGAAGGAGCCAGUCUGACUUUAAAAACAGGAGUGAAUAUUUCAGCUUGUUUUGCAGACCUAAGCUCCUGUGACCUCUCUUACUGUAAUACCAAAGAAUAUCAUCUCUGUUCAUGCGCUGAUCCUCACAGUAUCUGAAGAAAGUCAGACUGGCAUUAAUAUUAUUUUAUUCUAUUAUACGCAAGGAAUUGAGGCACACAGAGGUCAAGUGACUCGCCCAAAGGUUGUCUUUGAAAAGGGUGCUGCACAUACAUGACCUGUCUUUGAAUGGUAUUUAAAAUUUAGCCUAGUGAAUGUAGAAACAGUCUCAAAGAAAGUAUAAAACACCCAAUAGCGACCCACAUGACACGACACAAACCACAACCUUUUGCUUAAGCCAACUAAGAGAUUCAAGUGAAAAAGGAUUUCAAGUUUCAUCCCUAAGGAACUGGAGACAAACAUGUCUAAACUGACAUGAAUACAAAUUUGGGAAGGCACACAAAAUCCAAGCGGCGAGAACCUGAACUUGGGAAAAACAGCCUCACUUUUCUCCAAAAAGAUGAAUCCACAAAGUAGAUCUUGCCACAGCAGAAGGAACAUGUGUCAUGGGAACAGCAGAGGCAAAAUGUGUCAUGAGAAAAUCUUGACGGAUUCAGCCCAGGACGAGAAUGUGCAAAUUGAUGCAAAAUUAAAUGCAAUUGAAUGAGCUAACACAUAUCCCAGCAAUGAAGAAAACUCACAGCAUGAUUGCAAAAGAGACGAGUUUAAAUCCAAAGCGAGGGGGGGCAGGGAGAGGGGGGCGCUGAAGAUGUCUAAGCAGUCUCCAGUGACUACAUUUUGGCAGGAAUAUGAAGGUUUCCUCAAAAAGGAGUCAGGAAAGUGCUGCAGAGAUGACAAGGAGUAACUGAAAUGCAAUGGUCAAUUACAGAGCUAAAUGGAAGAUAUGCAACGCAGCUUUCCUGCAUAUCAGGUGCUAAGUAAUGAUAUUAUUUGUCUGCUACCAAAAUGUCACCCUGUAGUUCACUUCUGGGAUACUGUAUUUUUGUCUCUUCCUGGUCUAUUCUGCCAGCAGAAUGAUUUUCAAGAGUCGCUGAUUUCCAGCUCCAAAGUAGCUUAGUCUCAGUUCCAGGGGAAACAAAACUCUAAACUAGCUGAAUUUGUAAAAAUCUUUGAAGAUGUGGGAAUAUCCUCUGGUUGUAAGGAAAGGGAGUGUGAUUCAGAGCCUGGCACACAUAUAUGAAAGGGUUCAAUAUUUAAUUAAACAGUCUUCCUUGUGGCAUAAAUGACUGAGCUCUUUCAUGCUGAACACCCUUGAUUUUCAAUGUACUAUUCCCCCGUGAGUGAUAACACAAAACUUUGUGCUGGCCCAGGCUGGCCCAUUACCUGCCACUACCAAGAGAACACUUUGGGAGCUAAUAACUUUCUACUUUUACAUGAGACAAAUCCAUCUCUCCAGGUUGUCAGAUCACUCUCACAUGCAUCUCUAGUCCCAGGAAAGGACCGACACAGUCCCCAUGCUGCUGGGGUCUGGAACCCAUGGUGCCCCACAAAAGCACAGGCUUCUUCACUCUGCCCUUAGAAACAAACAGACAUUUCCAAACACUUGCAAAACCAGCAUGGGGUGUGGGUGGGGGAAUCGUGUUUUGGAAUUAUUCUCCACAGAAAACAGGUAGCCUGAUCCUGCACCCAAGGCUGAGCUCAGCGCAAGCCAAGGACUUAGGCUGGGAGAAUGUUGCUGAUGGAGGUGCUGAGGAUGCGUCUCAGAGACCUGCCUUUGAAAAGGGUCAAGACAACCUCAUGUAGGGCACAACUCUGUUAGUUUUGUUCUGGCUUUGGUUUUUGGUUUUUUUGGUUUGAUUUUUUUUUUCCCCAAAUGAAAUAAAAGGACAGUGUUGGCUCUUUUCUGGAAAUGGUUUUCUGCUGUGUGUGAGAAAUGAGAACAGGUCAGUUGAAAGGGAAAGAGUGCAAUGCGUCACCUAUAAGCCUAAAUAAAUACCAAGGUCUGCAGCUGCCUGGCCCAAUUUUGGUUUUACAUAUGUAAGGUGACUUCUACCAAGACAAUUUUAUUU